rnacentral:rRNA from 1 species
UACGGAGGGUGCAAGCGUUAUCCGGAUUUACUGGGUUUAAAGGGUGCGUAGGCGGGUUGAUAAGUCAGGGGUGAAACCUCCGAGCUUAACUCGGAAACUGCCUUUGAUACUAUCAGUCUUGAAUUCAGUUGAGGUGGGCGGAAUGUGUCGUGUAGCGGUGAAAUGCUUAGGUAUGACACAGAACACCAAUUGCGAAGGCAGCUCGCUAAACUGACAUUGACGCUGAGGCACGAAAGCGUGGGGAGCAAACAGG